GCCAGGCAAAGCCUUGACCCCGGAAUUCCGGACUUGGGAUCUUACUCUUGAGAAACUGAACUUACUUCCAAUAGACUGUAAUUUGAUGUCAUCAACACAGGAUCUCAAAGAAUCAAAAGAACUUUUGAUCAAGGUUUUUUCUAGAAUAAGCUUUUCAAUACCUGUGAAGUCUUAUGUUUAUAUUAUGUUGGUUGCCUAAUCCAAUUGGUGUUUAAAUAGUGGAGACUAUUUGAUAUGUUUUGACUUUAGUCCACAUUUAAGCCUUGACAAUUACAGUUUCCUUUAAACAUUACAGUCUGAAAGAUACUACUG
rnacentral:lncRNA from 11 species